CCUACGGGGUGCAGCAGUGAGGAAUAUUGGUCAAUGGGCGGGAGCCUGAACCAGCCAAGUCGCGUGAGGGAAGACGGUCCUAUGGAUUGUAAACCUCUUUAGGCGGGGAGCAAUGCCGGGCACGCGUGCCCGGAGGGAGAGUACCCGCAGAAUAAGCAUCGGCUAACUCCGUGCCAGCAGCCGCGGUAAUACGGAGGAUGCGAGCGUUAUCCGGAUUUUUUGGGUUUAAAGGGUGCGAUGGAUGAUUUUUAAGUCAGGGGUAAAAUUUCCGGGCUCAACCCGAGCCUGCAGUUGAAACUGGGGAUCUUGAGUGGGCGAGAAGGAUGCGGAAUGCGUGGGGUAGCGGUGAAAUGCAUAGAUAUCACGCAGAACUCCGAUUGCGAAGGCAGCAUACCGGCGCCAGACUGACGCUGAGGCACGAAAGCGUGGGGAUCGAACAGGAUUAGAUACCCCAGUAGUC
rnacentral:rRNA from 1 species